rnacentral:tRNA from 1 species
GCGGAUAUAGUUCAACGGUAGAACUUCUGACUUCCAAUCAGACGGUGCCAGUUCGAUUCUGGUUAUUCGCUCCA